rnacentral:rRNA from 1 species
UGGGGAAUUUUGGACAAUGGGCGAAAGCCUGAUCCAGCCAUGCCGCGUGAGUGAAGAAGGCCUUCGGGUUGUAAAGCUCUUUUAGUCGGAAAGAAAGAGUUGCAAUGAAUAAUUGUGAUUUAUGACGGUACCGACAGAAAAAGCACCGGCUAACUACGUGCCAGCAGCCGCGGUAAUACGUAAGGUGCGAGCGUUAAUCGGAAUUACUGGGCGUAAAGGGUGCGCAGGCGGUCUUGCAAGUCAGAUGUGAAAGCCCCGGGCUUAACCUGGGAAUUGCGUUUGAAACUACAAGACUAGAGUGCAGCAGAGGGGAGUGGAAUUCCAUGUGUAGCAGUGAAAUGCGUAGAGAUGUGGAAGAACACCGAUGGCGAAGGCAGCUCCCUGGGUUGACACUGACGCUCAUGCACGAAAGCGUGGGGAGCAAACA